rnacentral:misc_RNA from 1 species
AUCGCGACACUUUGAAAGCUUUGCCAGUUUGUUCGAUAAAGCAGCAUGCGAAUAAAAAUAAGGAACAAUCAGGUUAAUUUAACCAGCGUUGAAUUGUCACGACAUAACGCCAGCAAACAUUAACGUGGGCAAACAUUUUGACCUUUUCGUUGCUGCACGUGGAUAAAACGUUGAUUCAAAUUACGAAAGACGAAGAAAGGGAAAGCGGAUAAUGCUAAAGAAAAGGGAAAAGAGAGCAAAACGGACGCACAACGUUUGCGACGAGUAACGCUCCACGCGUAAGACAAUUUACAUCCGGAAUGGUAACAACGAUGAACAUUUGCGAUAACGCCGUAGCAGAUAACAGGUUUUCACAUUGUGUUUCUCACCUGUUAUCCACCUCAUCUAAUCGUAGCAAGUAUCUCGCUACGUGGAAAUUUGGAAGAAAAACCUGGAAUAUGAUUGUCAGAAGCGAACAGAAUUCUUUCCACAAUCUCAUCAGUGUCUUUAGAACUAUCACGAGAUCUUGAAACAUGUUUACUAAUGUGAAAUAAAGUACGAUAAAUUUAUAAUAAAAUUUAAAGCGUCGAAGUCUCUCAUUAUUCGUUAUCGAUUUUCAACGGAGAAAAUCUACAAUUUCUUUCGCUACGAUGAUUCUCCGCCGUCGAUAUUGAAUUUCCAAUAUUCCGCAGGACUGGCAAUCGCAAAAAUUACGUUCGAUUUAAAUCUCGUUAAAUGAAAAUCAAUAUUCUGUCCCAAUCACGUCAAUUUAGCGAGGAUCGUAGAUCUGAAAAACUAAGGUAGGACAAGCGAGCGAUAAAAAGAGCGAAGGAAAAAUACCACCUUUAAUCCACCGUUCUCAAACAAAAGAAACGAAUUCGUUCGACGUUCGACUCGCGGCAGAUAAUUUACGAUGGUAUCGGUACGUACAUCUACUGAUUAAAAAACGUCCAUCAGAUUGGAAUCUUCCCGAAGAUGGUAUCCCACUAGGAGUAACCAACCACGUGUUAUUUAGCAAUUAAGUUGGAAAAAUUUACCAAAUGUUCAGCUGGACAAAUUUUAAAGUACAAAUUAAAUAAUUAAAAAAAGAAGAAGGAAGAUUAGUAUCUUCGAGAUAAGACUGGAGAUAUGGCGCUAGCGAGUUUCUAAAGCCUUUUACUACGCAUUAAGAUAGCCACGAAAAAAGAAGUUGCUGGAUCCACCGCUGUAUAAUCAAACAGCGAUCUCGUGAAAAACGUGGAACGUUCCCUGUGAGCGUGUUUUCAAGCAUAAUAAACUCGAUCGAACGAUGAAAUUACACGCCGAUCUCGUGACUAUCCACCGUUGAUUGAGACAAUCCCGUAAUUAACUGUGUCGCCACGUGUAUUCGUGGAACGUUAACCCCCCAUAACAGCAAUUUCCUUCGCCUCUGACAAGGAAAUAAUGCGAACGAACGCAAUCUGGCUUUUCAUUUGAAAAAUAGAAAGGAAUUAUGGAAACAAUUUGAACGCUCGAUAUCGAGGCACAACGAUAUUAGCAAUGGAGCGUCA